rnacentral:lncRNA from 1 species
AAUCCAGUAGGUCCUGGGAUCCAGCAAAGCAAGAGGGAUGGAGUCAGAGAGGAUACCCAGCGACACUCCAGUGACUGGCUGCUCCCGUAUCCUGGGUCCAGGAGGGAAGACUAUAGGAGCGGAAUUGCACCUGACCCAUGAUCCAUCAGAGUUUUUCUCUCAAUAUCAAGCUUCCACAGACUCUCUGCUGCGGUGGAAAUAUUUGAAAACAAUCAAGUGGAACCCACUGGGGAUGCUGUGUCCUUUUGAAUGCAGUCCACAGCUUCUCCCUGGACAAGGGUGGUGCCUCUGGGAGCUCUCCCGGAAGCUCUUCUGGAACCCUUGGCUCCAUGGGCCAUGAAGCUCCUGCAACCAGAGACAGGCCUUCUGGCAGGUGUCCAAGUUAGGUAGCAGGUGACUUCCACAGGAGGCCAAAGGGUAUGGGUGUGGCAAUGACUGUAUCUUCUCCUUGGGUCUUGGGGGGCAUAUUGGAAAAAGUGAAUCUCCUGGAGGAGGAAGGGCCGUAGAGUUUCUUCUUGAAAAGUAUUCAUUGCCCCAGCAAUCCACUCCUGGGCAUCUAUCCAGAGAAAACAAUGACUUGAAAAGAUACGUGCACUCCAAUGGUCAUUGCAGCACUGUAUACAAUAGCCAAGGCAUGGAAACAACCUAAAUGCCCAUCGAUGGAGGAGUGGAUCAAGAAGAUGUGGGACAUAUACACAAUGGAAUAUGACUCAGCCAUUAAAAGGAAAGAAAUAAUGGCAUUUGCAGUAACAUGGAUGGACCUAGAAAUUAUCAUGCUAAGUGAAGUCAGUCAGACAGUGAGACACCAACAUCAAAUGCUAUCACUUACAUGUGGAAUCUAAAAAAAGGACACAAUGAACUUCUUUGCAGAACAGAUACUGACUCAGAGACUUUGGAAAACUUACAGUUUCCAAAUGAGACAGGUUGGGGGGUGAGGGGAUGGGCUGGGGGUUUGGGAUGGAAAUGCUAUAAAAUUUGGUUGUGAUGAUCAUUGUACAACUAUAAAUGUAAUAAAAUUCACUGAGUAAU